rnacentral:rRNA from 1 species
UAAUACGUAGGGGGCAAGCGUUGUCCGGAUUCACUGGGCGUAAAGCGCGCGCAGGCGGUGAUGUAAGUCUGAGGUGAAAACCCGAAGCUCAACUUCGGGACUGCCUUGGAUACUGCGUCACUUGAGGAUAGGAGAGGCAAGGGGAAUUCCACGUGUAGCGGUGAAAUGCGUAGAGAUGUGGAGGAACACCUGUGGCGAAGGCGCCUUGCUGGCCUAUUUCUGACGCCGAGGCGCGAAAGCGUGGGGAGCAAACAGGAUUAGAUACCCUGGUAGUCCACGCUGUAAACGAUGAGUGCUAGGUGUAGGUGGGCUCAUACCCAUCUGUGCCGAAGCUAACGCAUUAAGCACUCCGCCUGGGGAGUACGGUCGCAAGACUG